rnacentral:rRNA from 1 species
CGUCAAGUCAGCAUGGCCUUGAUGUCCAGGGCGACACACACGCUACAAUGGCCGGUACAAUGGGGCGCCAACCCGCGAGGGGGAGCCAAUCCGCCAAAGCCGGUCUCAGUUCGGAUUGCAGGCUGCAACCCGCCUGCAUGAAGUCGGAGUUGCUAGUAAUCGCUGAUCAGCAGGCAGCGGUGAAUACGUUCCCGGGCCUU